rnacentral:rRNA from 1 species
CUCUGAGAGAGAGUAAACAGUGCGUGAAGCCGUUCAGAGGUAAACGGGUGGAGUUGAACUGUGAGUUCCGAGGGUUCAGUUGGUGAUUUUGAUUGGGCUUGGCCAUGUUGGUUGGGCUCUGGGGUCUGCGUAGCGGCAGGUUCCUGCCUUCGGGCGGGGAUGCGCGAUGCACUCGUUGAGUGUUGUGCGCCCUGGAUGUCCCGGGCUAAGUCGCCAGUGCACUCCCUCGGGACGGUCACCACGACCGGCACUGCCGUCUGUCUGUUGCGGUCAAACCGCGCAUGCUUGGUCCUCGUGGCUUUGUGUGCUCGGGAUGGCAGGUAUCCUGUUGGCUUGCUCGCGGGCCUUCGGGUGAAAUCAGCUGGCUGCAAUUGGAUUGUGCGGUGUGCCGGGGACGGCGGCUUGCGGUGUGUGCGUGCGUACCAGUCUGGUGGCGUGUCCGUGUCAGGUUGCUCAGUUGCUCACCUAGUGGGCCAGGCGGCGACUGGGACGCGUUCGCUAGGCGGUUGCGUGUGAGACACUGUUCAUGGGCCUAUAGUCUGUGGUGUUGCGGUAGACGAUCCACCCGACCCGUCUUGAAACACGGACC